rnacentral:rRNA from 1 species
AUUGAACGCUGGCGGCAUGCCUUACACAUGCGAGUCGAACGGCAGCACGGGUGCUUGCACCUGGUGGCGAGUGGCGAACGGGUGAGUAAUAUAUCGGAACGUACCUUAUUGUGGGGGAUAACGCAGCGAAAGCUGUGCUAAUACCGCAUAAUCCCUAAGGGGGAAAGCGGGGGACCGUAAGGCCUCGCGCAAUUAGAGCGGCCGAUACCUGAUUAGCUAGUUGGUGAGGUAAAGGCUCACUAAGGCAACGAUCAGUAGCUGGUCUGAGAGAACGAUCAGACACAUAGGGACUGAGACACGGUCAAUACUCCGACGGGAGGAAGCGGUGGGGAAUAUUGGAAGAUGGGGGCAACACUGUGCCAGCAAUGCAGCGUGAGUGAAGAAGGCCUUCGGGUUGUAAAGCUCUUUUGUCAGGGAAGAAACAGCAGCUCUAACACAGUUUGCGAAUGACGGUACCUGAAGAAUAAGCACCGGCUAACUACGUGCCAGACGCCGCAGUAA